rnacentral:rRNA from 1 species
AGUGAACGCUGGCGGUAGGCCUAACACAUGCAAGUCGAACGGCAGCACAGUAAGCGCUUGCUCUUACGGGUGGCGAGUGGCGGACGGGUGAGGAAUACAUCGGAAUCUACUUUUUCGUGGGGGAUAACGUAGGGAAACUUACGCUAAUACCGCAUACGACCUACGGGUGAAAGCAGGGGAUCUUCGGACCUUGCGCGAUUGAAUGAGCCGAUGUCGGAUUAGCUAGUUGGCGGGGUAAAGGCCCACCAAGGCGACGAUCCGUAGCUGAUCUGAGAGGAUGAUCAGCCACACUGGAACUGAGACACGGUCCAGACUCCUACGGGAGGCAGCAGUGGGGAAUAUUGGACAAUGGGCGCAAGCCUGAUCCAGCAAUACCGCGUGGGUGAAGAAGGCCUUCGGGUUGUAAAGCCCUUUUGUUGGGAAAGAAAAGCAGCAGGUUAAUACCCCGCUGUUCUGACGGUACCCAAAGAAUAAGCACCGGCUAACUUCGUG